rnacentral:lncRNA from 1 species
GAUGUUAUGCGAAUCAACAGCCUGCGACGUGGGUGGAUUACCUGCCUCUCGCCGAGUUUGCCUACAACAACACGAAGCACGUGUCCACGGGGGUCACGCCGUUCUUCGCCAACAACGGGAGGCACCCCAGAACCUUCCCGGGACUGGAAAGAAUGGGGGAGGGGAGCCGCAGACAGCAGAUGCAUUCGCGUCGGAGUUGCAGGAGGUCCACGAUCAGCUGCGGCGGCACCUGGAGCUGGCUAAACACGCAUACAAGGUACAAGCGGACAAACACAGAAGGGUUGGCGAAGAGAUCCAUGUGGGAGACUGGGUCUGGUUAGCAGCCCACGCAGUGCCGGCCAGGUCGUUGGCGAAGAAGAAACUAGGGCAUAAACAACUGGGGCCCUACCAAGUCGAAGAACAGGUCAACCCGGUGGCUUUCAGGCUGGCUCUUCCGGAGGGUUCCAGAAUGCAUCCGGUGUUCCACAGAUCGGUGCUCACUCCCUACAAGGCACCUCACAGGUUUCAGGAACCAGGAACGGCACCGGGUCCGCUCCGAGAGAGAACCGGGCAGGGGGGAGUGGCACGGGAGGAGCGCAUCAACGAAGUCACGGAGAUUUUGGACUCCAGAUGGGGGGGAAGAGGGGGUAGAAUACCUUCUCGCCAAGGAGGGCACCCCGGCCAGUGCCAACAGCUGGGUGCCGGGCUACGCUUUAGACGAACCUCUGCUCAAAGAAGAGUUUCAUGCCCUCUUCCCACAUAGGCCAAUGCCAGCAGACUUUUUCGACGACUGGCUUUUCACGCCCACGCUUUCAGCCAGCACGUUCCGGGGUUCGACUCGGACGAGGAACCGACACGAGACGCCCGUUCCCCGGAGGGGUCACCCUCAGGAUCUGCUUCAGAACCCUCGUAUUGGUGGGAUGAUCGACCAGAGGAGCAGUUCCGUAGAAGGUGGCUGGAGGGUCCAGGACGAGCAACGUCUCCAGAAGGCAACGAGGGAGAGACGGACAUGGACUUUUUCGGGGACGACCCGGGUUUCGAGCACGGCGGCACAGAGAUGGAAGCGGAGGUGACCGUCGUCAACGAGAGCAGGGAGGAAGAACCGGAAGACUUCAGAUGGCGGCCCGCCACGGGAAGCGAACUGUAUCCGACAUUCGUCCCCUGACACGGCAGCACCCAGAUCCCGCACCGGAAGGAGGGGAGGGGGAAGAGGGGGCUUCGAGGGGGAUGGAUGUCAGGGGUUCAGGAGCAGAGGCAAGGGCAAGGGAGGAAACAGAGAGCGAGGGGGAGGAGGCAGAAGAAAAGAUGAGUGAUGACGACGACCCGAGAUCUCCGAGUCUUUCCAGUGAAUCAGAAGAUUCACAGAAAGGAGCACCAGUGGCCAGGGCAAGGGGGGAGCCUAGGGGGACACCCCAGGAAGAUAGAGCCAGAGGGGACUCAGAGGGGAGCAGUUGGAAAUCGGGACCAACGUCACCGCCAGAGAGCAGGGAAGAGGAAGGGCACCAGGGAUCAAGCGCUGGCAACUCACAACAGGGGGGAGGGCACGAGUCAGGAGUGGCCACACCUCCAUCGGGGAGCGAAGAAACGGUCAGACGGAAGGUGGAAGGUUGGGCGCGCGCGCCAAGUUCAAAUGCACAGGAAGGUGGCGCAGUAGGCAGCCCGGAAAGGGAGCCAGGUCCCAAAGCCCGCCGAAAGGAGGGAGAAGAGUCAGGGGAGUCAGCGUCAGCGUCAGAGGAAUCCCGGAAGGAAGAGACCCCGGGGGGCAGAGGGACCCAGAGAAGAACAGUCAGGCGGAAAAGGUGGAGCAGGGCUAGGAUAUUAAGUUGGUGUACAAGGGGCGGAGACUCAGACGGAGCUUCGCCGGUCUAAGCAUGAGACGUAGAGUUGCACGCAGCAGCUUGAGAAUGGAAACUGUAACUCAAUAAAGACUUUUGUUUAAUGAUCGCUGGCUAGCGUGAUCCUCUGUGAGCUAGGAUCUGGAAGCAGCUCUGACA